rnacentral:rRNA from 1 species
UGGGGGAUAGCCUUUGGAAACGAAGAGUAAUACCCCAUAGUCCCUACGGGGUAAAGUUCAGGCGGUUUAAGAUGGGUGUGCGUACUAUUAGAUAGUUGGUGAGGUAACGGCUCACCAAGUCAGCGAUAGUUAGGGGGCGUGAGAGCGUGAUCCCCCACACGGGUACUGAGACACGGACCCGACUCCUACGGGAGGCAGCAGUAAGGAAUAUUGGACAAUGGGGGCAACCCUGAUACAGCCAUCCCGCGUGUAGGAUGAAGGCCCUACGGGUUGUAAACUGCUUUUACCAGGGAAGAAUGGCCAUCAUUCAUGGUGGUAUGACGGUACCUGGGGAAUAAGCACCGGCUAACUCCGUGCCAGCAGCCGCGGUAAUACGGAGGGUGCAAGCGUUGUCCGGAUUUAUUGGGUUUAAAGGGUGCGUAGGCGGAUAUUUAAGUCAGUGGUGAAAUUUUGCGGCUCAACCGUAACACUGCCAUUGAUACUGGAUAUCUUGAGUAUGUUUGAGGUGGUUGGAAUGCGUAGUGUAGCGGUGAAAUGCAUAGAUAUUACGCAGAACACCGAUUGCGAAGGCAGAUCACUAAGACAUAACUGACGCUGAUGCACGAAAGCGUGGGGAGCGAACAGGAUUAGAUACCCUGGUAGUCCACGCCGUAAACGAUGGAUACUAGGUGUUCGGCCUAUAUGGUUGAGUGCCUAAGCGAAAGCGAUAAGUAUCCCACCUGGGGAGUACGUCCGCAAGGAUGAAACUCAAAGGAAUUGACGGGGGCCCGCACAAGCGGUGGAGCAUGUGGUUUAAUUCGAUGAUACGCGAGGAACCUUAACCUGGGCUAGAAUGCCUCUGCACAUUCCUGAAAGGGGAUUUUCCUACGGGACAGAGUGCAAGGUGCUGCAUGGUUGUCGUCAGCUCGUGCCGUGAGGUGUUGGGUUAAGUCCCGCAACGAGCGCAACCCCUAUCUUUAGUUGCCAGCACGUAAUGGUGGGGACUCUAAAGAGACUGCCGGUGCAAACCGCGAGGAAGGUGGGGACGACGUCAAGUCAUCAUGGCCCUUACGCCCAGGGCUACACACGUGCUACAAUGGUGCAUACAGAGGGUAGCGACCUGGUAACAGUGAGCCAAUCUCAGAAAGUGCAUCUCAGUUCGGAUUGGGGUCUGCAACUCGACCCCAUGAAGUUGGAAUCGCUAGUAAUCGCGUAUCAGCAAUGACGCGGUGAAUACGUUCCCGGACCUUGU